GCCCGGCUGGCUCAGUCGGUAGAGCAUGCAAUUCUUGAUCUCAGGGUCCUGAGUUCAAGCCCCACGUUGGGCG
rnacentral:tRNA from 1 species